ensembl:lncRNA
GUUUGCUAGCGGCUAACUGAAGAAGGACCGAAUCGACCCACACCCUACAAGCAAGACACCUCGUGUGUUCAUGAUUAGGGUUGUCCAGCAACUUGAACAAAGAACCCAAGUGUGAAAGAAGAAAAAGAGCCAAAGAUCUUUUUUUUGUUUUUGUUUGUUUUGGGGUUUUUGGUUUGUUUAUUUGAGGGGAAAAAAAGGUGUGAAAUCCAUCCAACCAUGUGACAUCCAAGCUCUACGUGGCUUUCUUUAGGAGACGCAGUAUGGGAAAAGAGCUCAAUCUGCAGAGAAUUUGGAGGUGGAAGACCCAAUCCCAGCAAAAAGUGGUGACACCUCGGUGACAUACACGGGGCUUCCAUGUGGAAUGAGUUGGUUUUGUGCCCUUAACGACACAGAGACUGACAACAGGAGUCUCAGAAGAUCCAGGGGACUCCACUUGGUUUUUUGAGUUAUUUUCCUAGUAAAUAAAAGGCUAGACAUCUUUUUUUUAUGAUUUUUAUUUUCUUUUUAAUAGCAGCUUUCUUGAAAACAAAUCCCAGCUGGACUUUAGUUUGAUGUUAAGCGGCUUCCCACAACUGGUUUAAAACUGAAUUUGUUUGUUUAGUUGUUUUCCCCUGUGGACUAAGUUUGAAAUGCUGGAACUCUCCCUCCUGCCACUAUCUUCAGUUUCUUCCACCCACCCAGUGCCUAAAUAAGCCUUCUCUGGAGGAUCACAGAAGUCAUCAGCAGCUGCUGCGCUCAAUCCUCUGCCUGUUCUCCUCCAUGUGCUUCUGCUCUCGGCCUGUU